ACGCACGCUGGCGGCGUGCUUAACACAUGCAAGUCGCGCGGUAAGGCCUUUCGGGGUACACGAGCGGCGAACGGGUGAGUAACACGUGGGUGAUCUGCCCUGCACUUCGGGAUAAGCCUGGGAAACUGGGUCUAAUACCGGAUAUGACCUCCUAUCGCAUGGUGGGUGGUGGAAAGAUUUAUCGGUGCAGGAUGGGCCCGCGGCCUAUCAGCUUGUUGGUGGGGUAAUGGCCUACCAAGGCGACGACGGGUAGCCGACCUGAGAGGGUGACCGGCCACACUGGGACUGAGACACGGCCCAGACUCCUACGGGAGGCAGCAGUGGGGAAUAUUGCACAAUGGGCGAAAGCCUGAUGCAGCGACGCCGCGUGAGGGAUGACGGCCUUCGGGUUGUAAACCUCUUUCAGCAGGGACGAAGCGCAAGUGACGGUACCUGCAGAAGAAGCACCGGCUAACUACGUG
rnacentral:rRNA from 1 species